rnacentral:rRNA from 1 species
AUGUUGAUUUGGAAUGUACGAGGACUGAAUUCGGCUAUGAGAAGAGGAGUAGUUAGGAGACUAGUGCAACAAUUCAAUGUAUCUUUCAUUUGCUUGCAAGAAUCGAAGCUCCCUGUUGUCACUAGUGCAAUCGUCAUGGAGUGCUGUGGUGACGCCUUCACAAAUUUCUGUUUUCAACCUGCUAACAACACGAGGGGGAAUAAUAAUGGCCUGGAAGGAUGGGGAGAUUCAGGUCACAUCAACAACCUGCAGCACCAACUUCGUGACCGCCCGAUGCACACACACAAAGACGGGGAAGAGCUGGCAGAUCAUUGGGGUCUAGGGACUGCAGGCGGACGAGGAGAAGAUGAAUUUCCUCACAGACUUGCACACUUGCAUCUCGAGCAACCAGUGUCCGCUGAUAUGUGCAGGUGA